rnacentral:rRNA from 1 species
AGAAUCAACGCUGGCGGCGUGCCUAACACAUGCAAGUCGCACGAGAAAGGGACUUCGGUCCUGAGUACAGUGGCGGCACGGGUGAGUAACACGUGAAUCAUCUACCUCCGAGUGGGGAAUAACUGAGAGAAAUCUUAGCUAAUACCGCAUAACACUUACGAGUCAAAGCAGCAAUGCGCUUGGAGAGGAGUUCGCGGCAGAUUAGUUAGUUGGCGGGGUAAUGGCCCACCAAGACGAUGAUCUGUA